AGUGAACGCUGGCGGCGUGCCUAAUACAUGCAAGUCGAACGGAGUGGCGCACGGGUGAGUAACGUAUAGCUCAUCUGCCCUCCACUAGAGGACAACAGUUGGAAACGACUGCUAAUACUCUAUAGUGUAGGAUGAGGCUAUAUUGUAUCAGCUAGUUGGUGAGGUAAUGGCUCUCCAAGGCUAUGACGGAUAACUGGUCUGAGAGGAUGAUCAGUCACACGUGAACUGAGACACGGGCCAGGCUCCUACGGGAGGCGGCAGUAGGGAAUAUGAGUCAACGGGGGGAACGCUGAAGCAGCAACGGCGCGUGGAGGAUGACGCUUUUCGGGGCGUAAACUCCUUUUGGUAGGAAAACGGUACCUAACGAAGAAGCACCGGCUAACUCCGUGCCAGCAGCCGCGGUAAUAC
rnacentral:rRNA from 1 species